rnacentral:rRNA from 1 species
GAGAACGCUGGCGGCGUGCCUAACACAUGCAAGUCGAACGCGAAGGGGGGGCAACUCCCCAAGUAGAGUGGCGCACGGGUGAGUAACGCGUGGUGCACUCUGCCCUUGAGUGGGGAAUAACCUGUCGCGAAAGCGGGGCUAAUACCGCAUAACAUCCUCUGGUCUUCGGACUGGGGGAUCAAAGAUGACCACUGCAUGCAAGUUGUCGCUCGAGGAGGAGCCCGAGUCCCAUUAGCUAGUUGGUAGGGUGACGGCCUACCCAAGCGACGAUGGGUAGCCGGCCAUGAGAGGGUGACCGCCACACUGGAAUCUGAGACACGGUCCAGACUCCUACGGGAGGCAGCAUUGAGGAAUAUUGCGCAAUGGGCGAAAGCCUGACGCAGCGACGCCCGCGUGGAGGAUGAAGGCCUUCGGGUCGCAAACUCCUGUCGAGGGGGAAGAAAUGACGUCUCGUAAAUAGCAAGACGUCUUGACGGUACCCCUGGAGGAAGCCCCGGCUAACUCCGUGCCAGCAGCCGCGGUAAUACGGAGGGGGCCAGCGUUGCUCGGAAUCACUGGGCGUAAAGGGCUCGUAGGCGGUCUGAUAAGUCCUGUGUGAAAUCCCUUGGCUUAACCAAGGAACCUGCGCCGGAUACUGUCGGACUAGAGGCCGGGAGAGGGAAGCGGAAUUCCGAGUGGUAGCGGUGAAAUGCGUAGAUAUUCGGAGGAACACCGGUGGCGAAGGCGGCUUUCCUGGACCGGUUCUGACGCUGAUGAGCGAAAAGCUAGGGUAAGCAAACAGGAUUAGAUACCCCUGGUAGUCCUAGCUGUAACCGAUGGGCGCUUGGUGUUGGCGGGUAUCGACCCCUGCAGUGCCGAAGCCAACGCAUUAAGCGCCCCGCCUGGGAGUACGGUACGCAUAGGCCGACAACUCAAAGGAAUUGACGGGGGCCCGCACAAGCGGUGGAGCAUGUGGUUCAAUUCGACGCAACGCGAAGAACCUUACCUGGGUUUUGAAUCUGCAGGUGACAGGUCUGGGAAACAGACUCUUUCCUCUGGAACUCCUGCAGAGGUGCUGCAUGGCUGUCGUCAGCUCGUGUCGUGAGAUGUUGGGUUAAGUCCCGCAACGAGCGCAACCCUUGUCCCUUAGUUGCUAGCGGAUCAUGAGGCACUCUAAGGAGACUGCCGUCGGACAAACCGGGGAGGAAGGUUGGGGAUGACUGUCAAGUCCUCAUGGCCUUUAUGCCGUAGGGCAUCACACGUGCAUACAAUGGGCGGUACAAGAGGGUGCCGAACCCGCGAGGGGGAGCCUAAUCCCAUAAAAACCGUCCUAGCUCAGUCGGAUUGCACGUCUGCAACUCGAGUGCAUGAAGGCUGGAAUCGCUAGUAAUCGCGGAUCAGCAUGCCGCGGUGAAUACGUUCCCGGGUCUUGUACACACCGCCCGUUCACAUCCAUGAAGGAGUGGGUUUGCCAGAUAGUGGCUGAGUCUAACCGCAAGGGGGGCAAGCGUCACCUACGGUAUGAGUCGGUGACUGGGGUG